rnacentral:rRNA from 1 species
AUUGAACGCUGGCGGCAGGCCUAACACAUGCAAGUCGAGCGGAUGAAGGGAGCUUGCUCCUGGAUUCAGCGGCGGACGGGUGAGUAAUGCCUAGGAAUCUGCCUGGUAGUGGGGGAUAACGUCCGGAAACGGGCGCUAAUACCGCAUACGUCCUGAGGGAGAAAGUGGGGGAUCUUCGGACCUCACGCUAUCAGAUGAGCCUAGGUCGGAUUAGCUAGUUGGUGGGGUAAAGGCCUACCAAGGCGACGAUCCGUAACUGGUCUGAGAGGAUGAUCAGUCACACUGGAACUGAGACACGGUCCAGACUCCUACGGGAGGCAGCAGUGGGGAAUAUUGGACAAUGGGCGAAAGCCUGAUCCAGCCAUGCCGCGUGUGUGAAGAAGGUCUUCGGAUUGUAAAGCACUUUAAGUUGGGAGGAAGGGCAGUA